UUGGAUCAUUGCUCGGGCAACGACGUCCUCCCGCUCAUUCCGCUUCAAUCGUUGGCACGAGAGCGACUUUCGCCCCGGCCGUGCUCAUUGGUUUCCUGUGUUGCAUACCAACGUCGAUGGAAUUCGCAAGCCAAUUCUUCCCUCGUUCGCCUAGCGUUGCCCGCUUGCGCGGUGCGGCUUUCGGGUGAACCUCGAAGCGAAACCCGUACUCUUCGUCGCUCACGCACGGCGUCGUCGUCGAGGCGCACGGGUUCUCGUUUGACCUCCGGGAUGCGGAAAACGUCGGGGGCACGGGGUCUUGCACCUCUAUUCGCCCACAAA
rnacentral:misc_RNA from 1 species